ACACAUGGCCGACGCGGGUCAAAGUGUAGUAUCUGUUCUUAUCAGCUUAAUAUCUGACACGGGUUGGAUUUGGACCUAAGAUAUUAAACUUAUUUUCGCGAGUUGACGGAGUGCUUAAAGCCCGCUUCACCUCCACUGCGGGUAGGCCUAGUAUUGCAUUACCUUCGGAAUCGCCCCACGGAU